rnacentral:rRNA from 1 species
UCAUCUCCGGGGGUAGAGCACUGUUUCGGCUAGGGGGCCAUCCCGGCUUACCAACCCGAUGCAAACUGCGAAUACCGGAGAAUGUUAUCACGGGAGACACACGGCGGGUGCUAACGUCCGUCGUGAAGAGGGAAACAACCCAGACCGCCAGCUAAGGUCCCAAAGUCAUGGUUAAGUGGGAAACGAUGUGGGAAGGCCCAGACAGCCAGGAUGUUGGCUUAGAAGCAGCCAUCAUUUAAAGAAAGCGUAAUAGCUCACUGGUCGAGUCGGCCUGCGCGGAAGAUGUAACGGGGCUAAACCAUGCACCGAAGCUGCGGCAGCGACGCUGAUGCGUUGUUGGGUAGGGGAGCGUUCUGUAAGCCUGUGAAGGUGGCCUGUGAGGGUUGCUGGAGGUAUCAGAAGUGCGAAUGCUGACAUAAGUAACGAUAAAGCGGGUGAAAAGCCCGCUCGCCGGAAGACCAAGGGUUCCUGUCCAACGUUAAUCGGGGCAGGGUGAGUCGACCCCUAAGGCGAGGCCGAAAGGCGUAGUCGAUGGGAAACGGGUUAAUAUUCCCGUACUUGGUGUUACUGCGAAGGGGGGACGGAGAAGGCUAUGUUGGCCGGGCGACGGUUGUCCCGGUUUAAGCGUGUAGGUGUGUGUUCCAGGUAAAUCCGGUU